GACGAACGCUGGCGGCGUGCUUAACACAUGCAAGUCGAACGGAAAGGCCCUGCUUUUGUGGGGUGCUCGAGUGGCGAACGGGUGAGUAACACGUGAGUAACCUGCCCUUGACUUUGUGAUAACUUCAGGAAACUGGGGCUAAUACCGGAUAGGAGCUCCUGCUGCAUGGUGGGGGUUGGAAAGUUUCGGCGGUUGGGGAUGGACUCGCGGCUUAUCAGCUUGUUGGUGGGGUAGUGGCUUACCAAGGCUUUGACGGGUAGCCGGCCUGAGAGGGUGGACGGCCACAAUGGGACUACGGUACGGCCCAGACGCCUACGGGGGGCAGCAGUGGAGAAUAUGACACAAUGGGCGGAAGCCUGAGGCAGCAGCGCCGCGUGCGGGAUGACGGCCUUCGGGUGGUAAACCGCUUUCGCCUGUGACGAAGCGGGAGUGACGGUAAUGGGUAAAGAAGCACCGGCUAACUACGUG
rnacentral:rRNA from 1 species